rnacentral:tRNA from 1 species
UUGAGAAAAACAAUUUGUAUUUAGUUUCGAC